CCUACGGGAGGCAGCAGUAGGGAAUAUUGGUCAAUGGGCGCAAGCCUGAACCAGCCAUGCCGCGUGCAGGAUGAAGGCUUUAUGAGUUGUAAACUGCUUUUGUACAGGAACAAAAAAGCCCCUGCGGGGGUUCUUGAGUGUACUGUAAGAAUAAGCACCGGCUAAUUCCGUGCCAGCAGCCGCGGUAAUACGGAAGGUGCAAGCGUUAUCCGGUUUUAUUGGGUUUAAAGGGUGCGUAGGCGGCUUAUUAAGUCAGUUGUGAAAUCCUAGUGCUUAACGCUAGAACUGCGAUUGAUACUGGUAGGCUUGAGUCAAGAAGAGGUAAGUAGAAUUUAUGGUGUAGUAGUGAAAUGCUUAGAUAUCAUAAGGAAUACCAAGAGCGUAGGCAGCUUACUGGUCUUGAACUGACGCUGAGGCACGAAAGCGUGGGGAGCAAACAGGAUUAGAUACCCCAGUAGU
rnacentral:rRNA from 1 species